rnacentral:rRNA from 1 species
UACGUAGGGUGCAAGCGUUAAUCGGAAUUACUGGGCGUAAAGCGUGCGCAGGCGGUUCGGAAAGAAAGAUGUGAAAUCCCAGGGCUUAACCUUGGAACUGCAUUUUUAACUGCCGAGCUAGAGUAUGUCAGAGGGGGGUAGAAUUCCACGUGUAGCAGUGAAAUGCGUAGAGAUGUGGAGGAAUACCGAUGGCGAGGGCAGCCCCCUGGGAUAAUACUGACGCUCAUGCACGAAAGCGUGGGGAGCAAACAGG